UAUUGUAUGUAAAUGAUUUCAGGC
rnacentral:piRNA from 1 species